UCAGUCCUGUAGCUCAGUGGUUAGAGCGCUCGCUUUACAAGCGAGAGGACCUGGGUUAGAUUCCCGGCCGGGUGAA